rnacentral:ribozyme from 2 species
UAAUCAACUCCGCCAGUAGCUCUUCUAUAGUUACUGCCGGUCCCAAGCCUGGGUAAAGGAGGAGGGUUGA